CUUUUUUUUUCCUUUUUUCCCCCUGUUUUCUUUUUUUUAAAAUUUUUUUUCCCAAAUUUCUGCUUCAGUCAUUUCUUGAAAUUUCCCAGCCCAAAGCGACAAUCCCAUAAGGAAUUUUUUCCCGUGAGAAGCCCGAGCCUGUGUUGAGCUGCCAAGAAUAUUUUUAAGGAGCACAGGGAGCUGCACCCCAGGCUGGGCUCUCCUGGGCUUCUUGGCCUGGGUGAUCAGGGAUUGGGUGUCCAAAUUAAUCCCAAUUCCAGGUUUUAUCCCGAUGACAAGGAUAAAUUCUCCAUACAGGGAAUGAUAAAUAUUCAGAUAUAUAAUUCUCCGUACAGGGAGAACAUUCUAGUCCGUGUUCCAGCGACUGGGAGUUCCCUCCUCCUGUCCUUUCCCUCCAUCCCUUCAUUUUAUCCCCAAGGAAAAGCAAAGUAGAGGUUUUUGCUUUGUUGCCCUGGUGAAGAAUUAAGGAUUCCCUGUCGGAGCAGGUCUGGGAUCCGCCCUCGCUCCCUGUGAGCGCCGGGGCCCUUCCCGCCCUCCCCACCUUCCACAGGUAAGUGUGGUGCCCUGGAAGGACCCCCAGGAUGGGGUUUGGAUGUGCCAGGCCCAGCUCUGGGGAAGGGGGGGGGUCGGUGGCUGCUCUUUUUGGGAACGUUUCAGGCAAAAUCAGCGCAGGUGCUCCAGGGGAGCCCGGACUGACCGAAUUCCAGGGGCCCAGAGUGGAACUGCUGGGCAGAUCCCAAGGGUUUAACGGGGCAGGAUUGCUCAGAGCCGGGCAGGUCCGUGGGAGCUGUGUCCGUCAUUCCCGCUGUCCGUGGAGGGAGCUCACGGAUCCGUGCCCACGGACGAGGCUGGACCGAGGAGUUGGGUUCCCCUCGGUGCUGAGGAACCUCCUGCGGGGGGAAGAGCAGGAGGGUCCCGGCUGCCCCCGGAGCUGCACCCCUUCCUCUCCCCCAGCCCCCCCAGUCUGUGCUCACGCUCUGCUGGGAGCGACUCCAGGCUGCUGUGGUUAAAAGGAUACUGUCAAUGCCCUCCUGUAGGUGGCUUUUAAUCCCUUAUAUUUAUUCAAAUCCUCUUUAGCGCUGUGGAUUCUCCCCCUCUCCUCAGGCGCCUUCAUUUCCAGAACUUUCUCCAGGUUUCGGGGUGGCAGAAGAUGGUGGUGACAGACUGGACGGGCGAGGGGUCACCCGGCAAUCACAGGAUUUGCACAACUCGGGGAAAAAAAAAACAAAAACAAAAAACACUUUUGUUUAGUUCAUACUGUGGCAGGGGAGAGCGAAAAGCGGGAUUUUGGAGCCAGGGCUGACUGAUCCCUUUGUAACAGAGCCGAGUUUUCCAGGGAAAACUCCCGAACACAGAACCCAAAGCAAUUUAUUUUCUGUUUGCAGACCAGGGUGACAGCAUUAAGGUAGCUCAAACUUCUUGACAGUGUCCUUUUAAGUCAAUUAUCCGUCUUCAAAUGGACUCUUCCUGAUGUUUAUAUUUAUAAAUACCAAUAAACACCAUUUUCCAA